UGAAACUCAGCAAUAAUGGUGUUCAUGGAACCAUCGGACCAAAACCUAUCGGAGAAAGACCGGAGGCAGACCAGGCAAAGCUUUGAGGGACCAUCUUGAGUGGUGGAGGCUCCUGGGGUCUCAAGGAUAGAGGGAAUCAGUGAGAUAAUGUUUCACGAUUGAUGAUGGUCGAAAGAGGUGAGGUUGGAGGUGGCCGGAGAGAUGGUGAAUCCCAUUGGAGAAAAACCAGAAGGUUCUAGAGAGAAG
rnacentral:lncRNA from 1 species